rnacentral:rRNA from 1 species
UACGUAGGGUGCAAGCGUUGUCCGGAUUUAUUGGGCGUAAAGAGCUCGUAGGCGGUCUGUCGCGUCGGAUGUGAAAACCCAGGGCUCAACCCUGGGCCUGCAUUCGAUACGGGCAGACUAGAGUGUGGCAGGGGAGACUGGAAUUCCUGGUGUAGCGGUGAAAUGCGCAGAUAUCGGGAAGAACACCCGUGGCGAAGGCGGCUCUCUGGGACGGUACUGACGCUGAGACGCGAAAGCGUGGGGAGCGAACAGG